rnacentral:rRNA from 1 species
UACGAAGGGGGCUAGCGUUGCUCGGAAUUACUGGGCGUAAAGGGCGCGUAGGCGGCGCAGUUAGUCAGGCGUGAAAUUCCUGGGCUCAACCUGGGGACUGCGCUUGAUACGGCUGUGCUUGAGGAUGGAAGAGGCUCGCGGAAUUCCCAGUGUAGAGGUGAAAAUUCGUAGAUAUUGGGAAGAACACCGGUGGCGAAGGCGGCGAGCUGGUCCAUCUGACGCUGAGGCGCGAAGCUGGGAGGAACGG